CUCUUUUUCCAGUGCAGAUUCCAUUCCCCUUCACAAGUGCUUGGGGAAAGCAGUUCCUCCAAGAGCAGGUCCUCCGUGCACUGCAAUACGUGAUUUAAGGACUGCUCCUCACCACCUGCAGCAAUCUCCAAUAGUGCCGAACAGCAGAUAUCUGAAGAAUUGAGAGCCCUGUUUUGCCAGCUCCAGAGGAGACCUUCAGAUCUCCCCAGCCUGUAUGGGUCUGGCAGCCUUGCAAGGCACUUCACAUGCCAUAGGUUGCUGACCACUGGUGUAGAGUGUACCCUGCUCCCUGUCACAG